CGAACAAUACGUUAUUUCAAUGAUUUUGGGUUUUUUUGAGACACCCUGUAUUAGCAAUUCGAUUUCAAUUCCCAGGGGCCUAAAAUCUUUUAUGCUUAAGAAUUGCAAAGUGAUUUCUUAGGAAAUUCCGAGGUUGCGUUUUUUUUUUAUACACCCUGUAUAUCAGAAUCUAAGUUACGUGCCUACUAAAACUACAGAAACGUGCAGCGAGACUAAUUCUUGAGCAGUCAACUGAAGUGCCUUCAAUUGUGCUUUUCCGUAAACUCAACUGGAUACCUAUUUUUAAUUUGAUCAAAAUGAGAAAAAUAUUAUUGGUAUUCAAUACUUUAAAAACAUCUUGGCCGCCGGAUCUUCGUAAAUUGUUUGUCUUUGUUCGCGACUCUCAUCUAAUUCCAACUAGAUCGUCUAUUACAGACUUAAAAGUUCCAUCAGUUAAGACUACGCAAGCAAAAUCCAAAAUUUCCUUCAGUGGUGCAAGUUUAUUUAAUUCUUUACCUUCCGAAUUAAAAGAUAUUGAAAAUCACUCAAUUUAUUCCUAUAAAAAGAAGCUCAAAACCU